UCGAGAAUCUUCCACAAUGGACGGAAGUCUGAUGGAGCGACGCCGCGUGAUUGAUGAAGUCCCUCUGGGACGUAAAGAUCUUUUAUGAGGGAAGAAGUUUAUUGACUGUACCUCAUGAAUAAGAGGCUCCUAAUCUCGUGCCAGCAGGAGCGGUAAUACGAGAGCCUCGAGCGUUAUCCGGAAUUAUUGGGCGUAAAGGGUGCGUAGGUUGUUCUGUUAGUCUUUUGUCAAAGCCCCGGGCUUAACUCGGGAUUCGCGAAAGAAACGGCAGAACUAGAAAGUGCGAGAGGUAUACGGAACUCAUGGUGUAGGGGUGAAAUCUGUUGAUAUCAUGGGGAACACCAAAUGCGAAAGCAGUAUACUGGCGCAUAUUUGACACUGAAGCACGAAAGCGUGGGUAGCGAAUGGGAUUAGAUACCCCCGUAGUCC
rnacentral:rRNA from 1 species